GACGAACGCUGGCGGCGUGCUUACCACAUACAAGUCGAACGGAAAGGCCCUGCUUUUGUGGGUUGCUCGAUUGGCGAACGGGUGAGUAACACGUGAGUAACCUGCCCUUGACUUUGGGAUAACUUCAGGAAACUGGGGCUAAUACCGGAUAGGAGCUCCUGCUGCAUGGUGGGGGUUGGAAAUUUUCGGCGGUUGGGGAUGGACUCGCGGCUUAUCAGCUUGUUGGUGGGGUAGUGGCUUACCAAGGCUUUGACGGGUAGCCGGCCUGAGAGGGUGACCGGCCACAUUGGGACUGAGAUACGGCCCAGACUCCUACGGGAGGCAGCAGUGGGGAAUAUUGCACAAUGGGCGGAAGCCUGAUGCAGCAACGCCGCGUGCGGGAUGACGGCCUUCGGGUUGUAAACCGCUUUCGCCUGUGACGAAGCGUGAGUGACGGUAAUGGGUAAAGAAGCACCGGCUAACUACGUG
rnacentral:rRNA from 1 species